AACGAACGCUGGCGGCAGGCUUAACACAUGCAAGUCGAACGCCCCGCAAGGGGAGUGGCAGACGGGUGAGUAUCGCGUGGGAAUCUACCCAGAUCUACGGAACAACAGUUGGAAACGACUGCUAAUACCGUAUACGCCCUACGGGGAAAGAUUUAUCGGAUUUGGAUGAGCCCGCGUUGGAUUAGCUAGUUGGUGGGGUAAUGGCCUACCAAGGCGACGAUCCAUAGCUGGUCUGAGAGGAUGAUCAGCCACACUGGGACUGAGACACGGCCCAGACUCCUACGGGAGGCAGCAGUGGGGAAUAUUGGACAAUGGGCGCAAGCCUGAUCCAGCCAUGCCGCGUGAGUGAUGAAGGCCUUAGGGUUGUAAAGCUCUUUCACCGAUGAAGAUAAUGACGGUAGUCGGAGAAGAAGCCCCGGCUAACUUCGUGCCAGCCGCCGCCGUAACAC
rnacentral:rRNA from 1 species